CAGUAGCCACGGGAAUACGGAGGGGGCUAGCGUUGUUCGGAAUUACUGGGCGUAAAGCGCACGUAGGCGGCUUUGUAAGUUAGAGGUGAAAGCCUGGAGCUCAACUCCAGAAUUGCCUUUAAGACUGCAUCGCUUGAAUCGCGGAGAGGUGAGUGGAAUUCCGAGUGUAGAGGUGAAAUUCGUAGAUAUUCGGAAGAACACCAGUGGCGAAGGCGGCUCACUGGACGCGUAUUGACGCUGAGGUGCGAAAGCGUGGGGAGCAAACAGGAUUAGAUACCCCAGUAGUCCCUGUCUCUUAUAC
rnacentral:rRNA from 1 species